rnacentral:misc_RNA from 1 species
CAGACCCGCAUCCGCGAGUGCGAACGUGUUUGCCGUUCCCCCGUGUGGAAUCCGCUCGUACUCCGGUGCACCGGCAACGACACAGUUUGCGCGAAUCGACUGGGCCGUCCCGUGCCGCCGUUUGUAUCCCUGCAACUUCCACAAUCCAGGCUGAGACAAAGGAUUAGGUGGUUACCCUGCGCGAGAGGCAGGCAGGCUCCGACGAUAUUACCGAAGUAUAUCGAUAAGUGUCAAAUGUGAACUGUCAGAAUUUCUCGAAUGUCAUUCUGCUUCGACUACUUCGGGAAAUUUUACGCGUCAUUUAAUGACUUAAAUCGACGUGUAAAAUCAACGACAGGCGGUCUUCUGCGAUUCGGCGUUUGCCGAACAAUCGAUAGAUGCAAAAUUAUUUGUUUACACCACAUCUUGUAAUAAGUUAAUUAACCUGCGCGUAUGAUUGCGAUUAUCCGUGCUGCUAAUUAAAGUACUCUGUGUUCCCUUGGAUCCUUAUCGCGGCUAUUUCUGCGAUUGAAUGACGUUAUCGUGGUACUAUGAAGUUUCACAAUGGAGUUUCCCGAAUCGCGUAACGUCGUUAAGGAUUUAGAUUUGACCCUUCAACCGCGAAUUGUCCCGCGGUAUAAGACUUGGCUUUCCCUCGCUACACAGCAACUGAGACUCAGAAAUCUGAUACAAAUAAUAGGCCAUAAUCUAACAGGGAAUGUAAAUGGAGAAAUAUGUUGGUUCUAUUAUACUCUACAUUGGACAAGUAUGUCAUCCCCGUUAUAUACAAGUGAAGCAAUUGACAAUGCUAAUCCAAGAUGGUCAAGUCUGGAAGUACCUACUUUACAUGCCACAGGUUACUCAGCAGCUAGUGAAAUUAUUCUAAGAAUUUGGAAGCGUUCUAUGACAGGCGAUGCUAAAACUGAUGUAACCUUCUUCUCAUGGGGAAUAUCAUUUACUGGAUUAUCCUAUAUUGGUCCUAAGCUACCAGCAAAUCUCGAAACCAUCUUGAAAGAAAAUUCCUUAAUAUUCCACUUUCAUGGUGGAUAUUUUGCUCCUGUGUAUUGCUUUAUAACAGCUCCAGACUUAAAGCGGUAUCUCAACAUGAACAUGAAUGGAUCUGAAGUAAAGAGUAGUUAUACAGUGAAUAAACUUACCAGUUUAAGAAGCAAAAUGCAGGCACUAAAACAACAAACGGAAUCAGUACAAGCACUUAGAGUACGCAUUGCAUCGGGUGAUGAUUUUUAUACUCCUAAAUAUCCACAGACAACUUUAAACAGACUGUUACAACCACGAAAAGUAAAUAGGGAGAAGAAGGCUGAAAUUAUGAGAAUACGUAAAGAGUUAGAAAUGGCCAAAUUUAGAACAAAAUUGUUAGAACAAGAGAGAGCACGUAAAAUGGGAGAGAUUCGUGUGCUGAAUCAGUUGCAUUCUAACAUCGUAGAAGAGAAUCAAGAUCAUGCUUCUGAUUUGGUGGAAAGAUAUAGGGAAUUGAAUAAAGAUGUGGAAAGACUGAACGAGUGGCGACAGAAUCAUAUGGAUACGAGGGAGACUUAUUUACAAAUAAGUAGUCAACUUGCACAUAGGAGGCGCCAGUUAAUAUCAGAAUUAAGUUUAAUAUAUCCAAUCCGACAGGAAGAUACUGGGAAAUUUAGGAUAAAUGAUGUUCAUUUGCCGGACAGCGAGGAAUUGGAAUUAUCUAAUGACACACAAGUUGCCGUCGCGCUGGGCUUCGUCGCUCACACAACGCAGAUGAUCGCAAACUUUUUGAAUGUACCGACUAGAUAUCCUAUCAUACAUUACGGCUCUCGCAGUAAAAUUAUAGAUCAUAUUACGGAAAGUUUACCCGAUAAUGACAAACAGUUCCCACUGUUUGCUCGAAGCAAGGAUAAGUUACAGUUUCAUUAUGCCGUGUAUUUGUUAAACAAAAACAUAGCACAACUUCGGUGGUAUUGCGGCCUGCCUACUACCGAUUUAAGAGCGACGCUGCCAAAUCUCGCUACUCUGAUUAACAUCAAACCCAAUCAAACGCAUUUGGACAAUUCGAAACGCACGUUCUCAAACUCAUCGUUGGACACCGAAGUCGGCAACGGCAAGCAGAAUCCGUCUCUCACGCCGCCAUUGCAGAAGAUUAUUUUCGAGAAAUGUCACCGCUCCUCACGAUCGAUGAGUCAGUUGAAAAGCAUCAAGUCCACGCUCGGAUCCUCUUUGGAUCAGGGUUUAGACAAGCCUGUGCAGUCGCCCGCGCUGGGCAGUCAAUCGAAACGUAUUUGUAAGUCGGAAGAGAGUGCCAUUGACAAUAAAACCUUGGUACUGGCUAAGGACAGGUCAAGCAAUAGCAGUAACGAAACGUUAAAUAGUGCCAUUCUGAAUAAUAUCGAUAACAUAACCCUUAAGGAUAAUAAUUUCGCUGACAGUAGCGAUAAGGUCGUUAUUGAGAGUAACAUAGAGAUCAUGAUACCUACGUCGGUUUCCAAAUCGAGGAACGUCGCGGACAGCUUGGAAAGUUCCGUGAGCGCUAGGGACAGGAGUUCCAAUUCUAUAAGCAGCUGCGAAAUGGCUCUCAGUAGUAGCCAAAACGACGUGCACGAGAGUUCGAACGAUAACCACGCGAGGAGAGAGAGUCACGACGAUAAUAUUUUCUCGAUGGACGAUGGUCUGAGAAAUAUCAAGGACGCGAUAGACAGCGCGCUGAAGGAGGGCGAACAGAGCGAGGAGCAUCACUCGAAGAGUGAGACUCUGCAGAAUUACGACACGAGCAGCACGACCAUCAGUGAACAAAAUAACAGUGUUCACGAACAAAGCCCGCUUAGGGAAAUUGCCAUUUACAGUAAAGAACGUUUUGCCAAGUCGUGCUUGUCUUUGGACGACGUGUGUACUUACGAAGAAUCGGAACAAAAGCGAAGAACAAACUGCGUUAGCAGCUUUCCGGAGCAUUGCACGAAGGAUACUGCACUACGAGAGGAGUACGACUCCGAAUCCAGGUGAGCAGAUCGGACAAAUCAAGUUACUCCCAACAUGUUGAGAAAUGGCCGCAGAGUAUCAUGGUGAACGAACCAGUGCCAGACACGAGGCCCAUUUUAAGCGCACCAAAACCGGAUAGUUAUUCAUACGACGAAGCGAAGUCGCAGUGUGAUAUUCAAACGUCGAGCGAAUAUAUAGACAUCAUUAGGC